rnacentral:lncRNA from 1 species
GUCAGGGUGCCGAGGCGGGGUUUCUCGCCUCCGGUCACAAUGGGACCUCUGUACCGCGCUGGGCUUGUUGGCCUGCGAUUAGCACACACCCAUCCCUGGGAACUGCUAGUCUGGAAAGCGGGGCUGCUUCUCCGGGAUGAGCCCGAGCCCUGCCAAGCCCCUCAAGGCAUUGAAGCUUUAGCUCACCUUAUCCGAAUGGUCAUUGGGCAUCUGGACUUGAGUUAACGACUGAAUUUUUCUGGGAAGCAAGGGACACGUUCUAAAAUAACCCCAGGAUCACUCUCCGAACUUGGCCUGAGUCUAGGCAAGCAGUGUUACUCGGUCGCCUUGAUCUUGGAGCUGCUGUGUACUGGGGACCUCAUACUAGUUGGGUUAACUAUAUUCCCAUUAGCAGUACGCGGGAUCGCAGUACUCGGGACAAGCUGAGUUCAGGUAUUUGGGUAAGACAACUGCAACACUUCAGAGGUUAUUUGUGGAGUAAGAUGUUCGACCAUACAGUGAAUAAUUCGAAGCUAGGGAGAACAGAUUAGAGUCUGGUAUGAAGAAGAAAGGGAAGGAAAGGAAUAGUUUUGAAGCUCAGCGCUAGAACGACUCGAUGUCCAUGCCAGGGUACCCCGAGUGGGCCUUGAAAUCUUGCGUCUCAGUGCCUUACAGGGAAUGGUAGAAACUGGAAAAUCUACAAGUAAAGUAUUGGGACCUCCUAAUUUUCCUUUUAGAUGGAGGAAAACGGGCUGGGAUUCCCUGCAGCACUUAGCACACGCUGCUAUGAGUAACACGAUCUGGAAAGACAGCGCUAGCAAGGAAUGAGGAGUGAUACAGUGACUGGAGGCUAAGAGAUAAUGUCUGCAAGUCACCUAAAACCAUUGCAGACACAGGGAGAUUGAUGGAUUUGGAGGACUUCUGGUUGUGAAGACUCUGACGAUUGCUAAAGACUAUCUACGGCCUUCCCCACCGCAUCCUGUGUCUGUAAAGACUCCAGACUCAGCUGGCAGAGGAGAGAAGUGGCUGGAUGUUGGGAAGAAGCAAGUUGACCUCAGAGAAAGCAGCUGGAUGUCAGAAAGAGGCAAUUUGACUUCCGAAGAGAGAGACAGAGAGGUGACUUAACCUCAGGGGAGAGCAACCUGCCCUUGAGACAGAGAGGUGACUUAACCUCAGGGGAGAGCAACCUGCCCUUCCCAUCCCCUUUCCAGCUCCCCUCUCCGCUGAGAGUUGCUUUCAUCACUGAAUAAAAUUCUCCACAUUCACCAUGCUUCAGUUCGUCUGUAUGACCUCAUUCCUUUUGAGCACCAGAAAAGAAUUCGGGAUGCACUAAGCACAGGUACCCAAAAAAAG